UUGAACGCUGGCGGCAUGCUUUACACAUGCAAGUCGAACGGCAGCGCGGGCUUCGGCCUGGCGGCGAGUGGCGAACGGGUGAGUAAUGCAUCGGAACGUGCCCAGUAGUGGGGGAUAGCCCGGCGAAAGCCGGAUUAAUACCGCAUACGACCUGAGGGUGAAAGCGGAGGACCGAAAGGCCUCGCGCUAUUGGAGCGGCCGAUGUCGGAUUAGCUAGUUGGUGGGGUAAAGGCUUACCAAGGCGACGAUCCGUAGCUGGUCUGAGAGGACGACCAGCCACACUGGGACUGAGACACGGCCCAGACUCCUACGGGAGGCAGCAGUGGGGAAUUUUGGACAAUGGGGGCAACCCUGAUCCAGCCAUGCCGCGUGCGGGAAGAAGGCCUUCGGGUUGUAAACCGCUUUUGUUCGGGAAGAAAUCCUCUGGGCUAAUACCCCGGGGGGAUGACGGUACCGGAAGAAUAAGCACCGGCUAACUACGUG
rnacentral:rRNA from 1 species